AUUGAACGCUGGCGGCAGGCCUAACACAUGCAAGUCGAACGAGUGGCGGACGGGUGAGUAAUGUCUGGGAAACUGCCUGAUGGAGGGGGAUAACUACUGGAAACGGUAGCUAAUACCGCAUACCAUCAGAUGUGCCCAGAUGGGAUUAGCUUGUUGGUGGGGUAACGGCUCACCAAGGCCACGAUCCCUAGCUGGUCUGAGAGGGUGACAGGCCACGCUGGAACUGAGACACGGUCCAGACUCCUGCGGGAGGCAGAAGUGGGGAAUAUGGCUGAAUGGGCGCAAGCCUGAUGCAGCCAUGCCGCGUGUAUGAAGAAGGCCUUCGAGUUGUAAAGUACUUUCAGCGGGGAGGCGUUACACGCAGAAGAAGCACCGGCUAACUCCGUGCCAGCAGCCGAGGUAAUAC
rnacentral:rRNA from 1 species